GAUGAAGAACGCAGCGAAAUGCGAUAAGUAGUGUGAAUUGCAGAAUUCAGUGAAUCAUCGAAUCUUUGAACGCACAUUGCGCCCCUUGGUAUUCUAUGGGGCAUGCCUGUUCGAGCGUCAUUUGUACCUUCAAGCUCUGCUUGGUGUUGGGUGUUUGUCCUUACUCUUGCAGUGGGACUUGCCCUAAAGUUAUUGGCAGCCAGUGUUUUGGUUUUGAAGCGCAGCACAAGUCGCGAUUCAGGGCUAAACGCCAGUUUCCACAAGCCUUUUUCACUUUUGACCUCGGAUCAGGUAGGGAUACCCGCUGAACUUAAGCAUAUCAAUAAGCGGAGGA
rnacentral:misc_RNA from 1 species